AUGCCUGGGAGUUUGGGCAGGACUCCUUGGAAGAUUAAGAAGAUCUUACAUUCUGUUGGAAUGGUCUCACCUCCCACCAACUCAAGCGUUGUAUAUUUGCAACCCCCGCCCUUUGAAGACCUCUUCAUAAACAACAGUGCAACUCUAACGUGCGUGGCACCACUUGCUGAUACAAGAAUGAAUUGGACAGUCAUUUGGCUUAUGGAUGGACAACCUGCCAACACGCAAGCUGUGGCCACAGAAGUCUUGAGUAACAUCACCAGCACUGCCUGGAUCCAUAGCCAGUUGGUGGUGAGCCUGACUCAAUGGAAAGCCACCACAAAGUUCAUCUGUAGCAUUUCUACUGGAUUGGGAGAAGUCAAGCAGUUCUACGAGCGAAGGAAUGGCACCAUGAAGCCUCCAAAAGUCUACCUCCAGCAACAGACCUCCCAAGAAGACCUAAAUGUAACCCUACUCUGUGCAGCCACGGAUUUCUACCCGGGGGAGGUUUUUAUGAAAUGGCAAGAGGAGAACACGACGGCGCCGCUGGCGUGCCCUGAGGCUCACGACUUGAAAUGUGACCAUGAAAGAGAAAGAUGCUCUCUAUUCAGCAUCCUCGAAGUCCCCAGAAGACAAUGGAUGACGGGAAUCUCCUACACGUGUCUUGUGGCUCACGUCUCCUCCGCAAACAUCAUCAUUAGAAGAGCCAGUUCUCAUUCUGGAAUGGUCUCACCUCCCACCAACUCAAGCGUUGUAUAUUUGCAACCCCCGCCCUUUGAAGACCUCUUCAUCAACAACAGUGCAGCUCUAACGUGCAUGGCGCCACUUGCUGAUACAAGGAUGAAUCUGACAGUCAUUUGGCUGAUGGAUGGACAACCUGCCAACACACAAGCUGUGGCCACAGAAGUCUUGAGUAACAUCACCAGCACUGCCUGGAUCCAUAGCCAGUUGGUGGUGAGCCUGACUCAAUGGAAAUCCACCACAAAGUUCAUCUGUAGUAUUUCUACUGGAUUGGGAGAAGUCAAGCAGUUCUACGAGCGAAGGAAUGGCACCAUGAAGCCUCCAAAAGUCUACCUCCAGCAACAGACCUCCCAAGAAGACCUAAAUGUAACCCUACUCUGUGCAGCCACAGAUUUCUACCCGGGGGAGGUUUUUAUGAAAUGGCAAGAGGAGAACACGACGACGCCGCUGGCGUGCCCUGAGGCUCACGACUUGAAAUGUGACCAUGAAAGAGAAAGAUGCUCUCUGUUCAGCAUCCUCGAAGUCCCCAAAAGACAAUGGAUGACGGGGAUCUCCUACACGUGUCUUGUGGCUCACGUCUCCUCCGCAAACAUCAUCAUUAGAAGAGCCAGUUCUCAUUCUGUGUUCUGGGACUAUGCUGUGACAAGCGCUGAAAUCUGCGGCAUUUGCAACGAAACAGAAGAGGAAUACAGUCAACUAACUGAGAUGGAUGGUGCCUGGAACCGGGUCUCCACGUACUUGAUCCUUUUUCUUCUUGCCCUCUUCUAUGGGGGCCUGGUCACAUUCUUCAAGGUGAAAUAGCUGUCACUCUCAACUUCCAAGGAAGUAUGACCCCCAGUUUUCCUUUCCGUGAUAAACCUCUCAGAUUUUCAAUUCUACGUUCUAUUUACUACCAUUUCCAAUGACUCUGCAAUUCAACAAAGCAUUAAGGAUGGAAAGCAUGAACACCAGUGAUUCUGAGAUCCUUUUGGCCCCGCUCACCAUCAUGGAUGCGAAGGAUUUUGCUUUAUCCACGAUCCCUCUUUUGCCGACCUCGUGGCACCGUUUCCCCCUGCUCUGUGUUGUCCUGAAUUACGUUUCCAAGCUGCUCUGUUUCCAUUUUCAAGAAGUGUUUUGAGACUUUAUAGUAUUGUAUUAGCAUUAUACUGUGCUCUCUUGCUGCUUCUUUGUUCAGCAUAAUAUGACUGUUCUUACAAAAUUAUGAUUAUCCACAAAUAUGUGGUACAGUUAGCUCUUCCACGUCACUGGGAUUAGUGGCACAGUGCCAUAGGUUGGG